rnacentral:lncRNA from 12 species
AUGGCUCUGCAGGGCAGCCAAGGGUAUAGAGCAGACAUGAGGAAUGUGUUGUUCUGGAAUCAGCUCAGAGCAGAAUCAUCAGCAAAUACAAGGUGGCUGCAUACCCCCUGGGCAGAGGUUCUCCUAGAGAGAGGCUCCCGCAGGUGGGUUGGAAAAAAUCAAUUAAGGGUUUGUGUAUUUAGCAUUUUGCACUCAACAUACUUGAGGGUGAAGGGUAAUCCUUUGAAAUCAGACACAUCUUGUUGGUUAAUGUUGCUGUAAGUUUUUUUUGAAGGUAGCGCCUGGACAUGGCAGCCAGAGCUCAUGUGAAAGGCAAAUUACAAAUACAUGAGGUUAUGCCUAAUUACCUGAAAUACCCUCCUCUGUUGAGUGAAAAACACAGUUUUCAUCAGCUCUGGAUUAAUUAUGGCUGCCGAGAGCUGUAAUUGGCAAAAGCGUGUUUUUAGCUCAUGACUCAAGGCUGACUCAACAUUGGGGACCGUGCUUUCCAUGGCCUCAAGCUGGGCUCCCUUUUUUCCUGGAAACGCCUAAGUGGUUUGCCAAGCCCUUUGACGGGGCCCAUUGAGCUUCCUUGGGAAGCUCAGCACCAGGAUUUGAGUCUGUAGUUCCUAAGAUGGGGGUUGGGGGUGGGAGGCGACCCUGGUGGGCACUCCUGAGCUUGCCUCAUGUCAAACUGACAACACCUUCUCGAAGGUGAGCAACCUGAGGCUUUAGCUUCUAAGCUGUGCAACUUGGAUUUGAACUUUUUGUUGUAAUUCUUUCCCAUUGCCCUUUGGGGCCUCCCUCAGUCACCUGCAGGGCUCGGAGUGGCUGUCCCAGCAGCUACCUGGUCUUGUGAAGGUGGAUCUUGCUGUGUGUAAACUGUGGCCAUGCUGCUCAGGACUGAACUUGUUUCUGGUUCCCUCUGGAAGGCUCUGAGGACAGGCCGAAUUGCAAAAUACGGAAGAUUUUCCAGGUGGGUAGAGAGGACUUGGCCAUAAAUCCUGGCCUCAUUUCUGGAUUGAUUGAUUAAUCCUCUGUCUGCAUGUGUGAGACCAUCUUCCCCUCUUAUGUGUCUCCUCACAGGUGAUGGGCUCUGUCCUUGAGUCGUCUCCCAGGCCUGGCCUCAGGGUGGCCACUCUGAAGGUCAGUGGGGAGCGUGAACUCGGUGCCUCCAGGUGGGACUUGAGAUGUCUGCCAGGCUCCCAGAACCGCCCCUCAGAAAAUGCCUAUUUCCUUCCCGGCUGCUCUGAUUCUCCGCAACUGACUGACUGAGCUCUUG